rnacentral:rRNA from 1 species
UGGGGAAUUUUGGACAAUGGGCGCAAGCCUGAUCCAGCCAUGCCGCGUGCGGGAAGAAGGCCUUCGGUUGUAAACCGCUUUUGUCAGGGAAGAAAUCUUCUGAGUUAAUACCUCGGGAGGAUGACGGUACCUGAAGAAUAAGCACCGGCUAACUACGUGCCAGCAGCCGCGGUAAUACGUAGGGUGCAAGCGUUAAUCGGAAUUACUGGGCGUAAAGCGUGCGCAGGCGGUUUUGUAAGACAGAGGUGAAAUCCCCGGGCUCAACCUGGGAACUGCCUUUGUGACUGCAAGGCUUGAGUGCGGCAGAGGGGGAUGGAAUUCCGCGUGUAGCAGUGAAAUGCGUAGAUAUGCGGAGGAACACCGAUGGCGAAGGCAAUCCCCUGGGCCUGCACUGACGCUCAUGCACGAAAGCGUGGGGAGCAAACAGGAUUAGAUACCCUGGUAGUCCACGCCCUAAACGAUGUCAACUGG